rnacentral:ribozyme from 1 species
GACUAACUAGUACCCUAGUCUGUUUUUCCUGCACGAGUGGAAUGCCAGCUUUAAUCUAUCACUUGAAAACACGGGACAAAGAGGAGUCACGCAUAACGACUAGUAGGG